ensembl:lncRNA
UCCUCCUCCUCCUCCUCCUCUUCUUCUUCUUCUUCUUCUUCUUCUUCUUCUUCUUCUUCUUCUUCUUCUUCUUCUUCUUCUUCUUCUUCUUCUUCUACUUCUUCUUUUUGAAGCACAGAAUUUAAUAUAAAGAAUUAUUAACUAAGUAUAAAGUCAACUGAAUAGACGAGAGGUUAUAAAAAGAACUCCAAGCUAACAAUUACAGGAAGAAUCUGCCACCCCCAGUGCUGGGGAGCAAUGAAGCUGAGGGAUUAAAAUUUAAACCACACAGACGGGAGCCUGAAGAGCUGGCCUGCAGAUAUCUGAAGGGGGCAGGGGGAGCGUCUGAGCUUAGAAGGGGCCUCCAGACUGGGUCUUAGACUCAGAGCUGGUGCCACCUACUGAAGUGAAGCAGCUCUGGUGGGUGACAUCGAGGGUUGCAAGAGAUCUCUAAGAUACUGCAGGGGACAAAGGAACCAGUCUCUCCUUUCACCCCUUGCUCUGGAGUCUAACCCUACACUGCUUAUUGGCAAAGGUCAACACAGCCUAAAAGAAAUUGAACUACCUGUGGGAGUGUGGUUGGCAGUGUCCAGAUAGCAAUCCCAGGGAAGGGUUGUGGUUGGCUUUGUUGAGUCACAUGCCCAUGAAUUAAGCCAAUCAUGAAUCACAAUGUUAGAGCCAACAUGAAUUAUAUGUUUGACAUGCUUGUCUCUGUGAUCUGUGGUGCAACAGGACUUUUCAUUAUCAGAUAAAGGGGGACAAGAGGGCCUAACAGGAACACAGAGAAUAGUCAGGAAGUCACUAUAGAUGUUCUGAUUUUUCAGCAAGGUAACAGUAGGUAACCAACCAUCUUUGCACAUUAUAAUCUUUCUUUAACAAUUGCCCUGUGAAAAAUUACUAGAGCUAGAAUUAUCACCCUCGGUGAAAGCUAUAUAAACCCUUAUAAAACAUAUAAUUUAUCACACACACACACACACACACACACACACACACACACACACUCUCCCUCUGGCAAAUGACAGAGAUAGUUAAGAAGUGACAGAUUCAAGGACACAUAGCAGACACAAUUUAUACUAGCAGUAGGAGAAUUUAAUGAGCAUCCUCUGGCUGGUUAAGGAAGGGAGCUUCGCCUGUUCUUUUCCUCUUGGAGCAGCUGCGGCAGUUGCCUUGGCACAGGCUGGCAGGCCCUGCCCUCUGAUCCCAGCCUCACUCGGAAAGGAGAUGUGCUUCUGCUGGGCCUUGUGUCCACCCAGUGGGUGCUUUCAGCUCGAAGCUCCUCCAGGAGGCUGUGCAGAUGCCUCAGUGUGAACAGUAGCUGCUGGUCUUGGAUCUGCAUCUCAGCCUAGGAGAGAGGAGGCAUGAGUGUGUGACAGGCACUGUCUGUGCCCAUCAGUCUCAUUCCUGUCUCAGUGGAAACAAGACCCUACCUCCUCACCCAAGCCAUAGAUGCCUUAUUCCUCUGGAGCCUCAGUUUUGAAUCUAGGAGACCGAGAGUAAAUUACUCACCUUUACGGGAUGAGUGAAAGAUAUGCUCUGAAGAUGACAGAGAUACCACCACCAUAUCUUUUAAAUUUUAUGGUAACAAGCAAAUAUUAGUCAGGAUAUUAGAUUCCCAGGAGGAACAGAACUUAUAGGAUGGAUCUAUAUAGAGAAAGGGGAUUUAAUUGAAUGGCUUACAGGCUGUGGUCCAGCUAGACCAGCCAUGGCUGUCUACCAAAGGAAGUUCCAAGAAUCCAGUAGUUGUUCAAUUCACAAGGCUGGGCGUCUCAGCCUGUCUUCAGACUAUGCCAAACUCCUAAAGAAGCAAGCUCUAAUACCAGUGAAGAAGUGGACUUGCCAGUGAGGGUGAAAACAAGCAGGCAAAGAGAGCGAGCUUCCUUUAUCCGUGUCCGUUAUAUAAGCUACCGGAGGUGUAGCCUAUAUUAAAGGUGCAUCUUCCCACCUCAAAAGAUCUGGAUUAAAAGUGGGCCUUCUGAUUUGAAAUAAUUUAAUUAAGAAAAAACAUCCCUCCCAGGUGUACCCAGCCACUUGGGUUUUAGUUAAUUCCAGACGGAGUCAAGUGACAACCAAGAAUGGCCACCGCAGUCAGACUGGGAUUAGCAUGCUAGUGACUUCUGUCAUUAGCAACGAAGUGAAGCCAUCCUAGCGGCUAGAGCACUUGUGAAACAUCCUGGGAACAUCUGGGUCCCCAAAACCUUUUCAAAGUAUUAGUAAUUUCAAAACAACUUGCCCUACGAUGAUUAAGGUAAAGUGUUCCUCCCCCCCCCACACUUUUUUUUCUUCUUAGAAUACAGUGGGGUUUUCCAGUGACAUGCUGUAACUCAGUAGACUGAAGACAGAACUAGAAAAGAGAACCCAGUUGUCUUCUUUUAAGCCAUACAGUAAAGUGAUCUGUAUCAAUGUAAAGCAGGCUCAACUCUUCUAUUUGCUUUGAGAAACAAGUAUUUAAAUAUUUUAUUAACAUGCUGUGAGUUUAUUUGUUCAAAGGCAUGUCUGUACAUUUUGACUGCUUUGCUCUCUAUUUUAAAGCAUUAAACUUUAUUUUGUGCAGACAUUUUAUUUUAUUUUUUUUGCAACGUCCAUUGAAAAGCCACAGAAGGGCAACUGUCUCUCCGUAUUCAAGGAGAAUGGCUAUACCAAGAUCUAAGGGCAUCCAAGAGCCUUACAGAAAAUUGCAACAUUUUUGUUUAAGGCCUGUGUGAGCCUCCUGUGUAUCAUUGCUAGAUAACAUGUUUCUUUGUUAGGUUUCUCUUGUGAUAAAUACCUCGCUUUUCACAGCCAUAGCUCCAGCUUCAGGGAUGCAAUGCCCUCUUCUGGUCUCCAUUGGCCCCUGUACUCAUGUGUACACCAAGCACAACCGUAGGGCUGACAGGAUGGCACUGCACAUAGAGGCACUUGCUGCCAAGCUUGAUGUGGUGGUCUGAAUGUCCGCUAUAAGUUCAGAGGUUUGGAUGUUUGCUUGCAAAUUGGUGGUACUGUUUGGGUUGGUUUAGGAGUUGUGGCCUUUGUUGAAGGAAGUAUGCCACCAGGGGGUGAGAUUCGAGGGUUUGAAAGGCACAUGUCAUUCCCAGUUCAUUCUCUGCUGCCUGCUUGUAGUGGUUCAGGAAGUGAGCCUCAGCCUCUUGCUCCAACUGCCAUGUCUACUGCUUGCUGCCAUGCUUCCAAACUAUGACACUCUCUAGAACUGUAAGCCAAAUACACCCUUCCUACUGUAAGUUGUUUCAGUCAUGGUGUUUGUCUUAGUCAGCGUUACUACUGCUGCGAUGAAACACCAUGACUAAAGAAGCCCAGAAGGAAAGGCCUUAUUUGGUAUUUGCUCCCACAUCAUAGUUCAUCAUUAAGAGAAGUGAGGGCCGUAACCUAGAAGCGAGAGCUGAUGUAGAAGCCACGGAGGAAUGCUGCCUUCUAGCUUGCUCCCUCUAGCUUGCUCAGUCUAGGUGUUUGUUUGUUUGUUUGUUUGUUUUUAUGUAAGCCAGGAAAAACAGCCCAGGGUUGAUCCCAUCCACAAUGGACUUGGGCCUCCCACAUCAAUUACUAAUCUCUUACAGGCUUGCCUGCAGCCAGAUCUGAUGGAGGCACUUUCUCAAUUGACUUUCCCUUCUCACAGAUGACUCUAGCUUGUGUCAAGUUGACAUAAAACUAGCCAGCACAACUGCCUUCUCGUCAACUUGCCACAGUCUUGAGUCGCAACCUCUCCUUUCUUGUCCAUCCCUAAGAUCACAUGUUGAUACUAACAUCACAAUAUAAAACAUUUUACAGACUUAAACAGUCUCACAGUUUUUAAAAAUUUAAACACUUAAACAUUCAGUCCCUUUAAAAAUCCAAAGUCUCUUAAAUCCAAAAUCUCUUCUAAAAGUUCAAAGUCUCUCAACUAUGGGCUCUAUUUUUUAAAAAGUUAAAUACUUUCUUCCAGACGGAAGAAUGACAGCACAGUCACAAUCAGAUCAAAACAAACUCUAACAGUGUGAAUAACUCAAGGUCCAGUACCUGGGCUCAGAUUCGCUCAGAUCUUCUAGGCUCCUCCAAAGAGCUGGGUAUUGUUCUGGCCCCACCCUCUGCAGCACAACGGCUUGUCUUCCCGGAUCUAGCUGGCUCCGUUCUUGGUGGUCAUCCCAUGGACAGGCAUCUCCAAAAUGCCGGGGUCUUCUUCUGCAACUGGGCUUCACUUCCACCAAUAGCCUCUCCUGGGCACUCUGCACACUGCCAAGCCUCAACUUCUCAGCAUGACCCUUUCAAUCCUGCAUCUUCAACUGCUGUUGAAGCUGUACCUUCACCAAUGACACUUCCUGGCCACUCAGCAGUGCAAAGUCUCAGCUGUUCAUGGCUUCAAGGCCAGUGCCACUGGGUGUCUCUUACACUACCCAAGUUCAGCUGUCCCUGGAGCACAGCUUCUGUGUGCUCUGUCUGAGGAAACACACCCCAGUUCACUUCGCCUCAGCGAUGCCGUUCUCUUCCUAAUCACCUCUGAUUUCUCAGCUCUAGCUGACCAGCAUCGAUUGUUUCAGUAACGCAAAGAUUUAUUUGGCUCACACAUCCUGAGUCACACUCCAGUGAGGGAAGUCAAGGCAGGAGCUCAAACUAGGCAGGGUCCUGGAGGCAGGAGCUGAUGCAGAGGCUGUGGAGGAGUGCUGCUUACGGGCUUGCUCACCGUGACUUUUUCAGCCUGCUUCUUUAUUUAUAGAACCCAGGAGCACUAGCCCAGGUUCAGAGAUGCAGAUGUUCAAGGGAUGAGGCAGGAACUCAGGCACAACAGAAUCCUAGGAAUGACCUCUAGCACCACUAUAGCGUGAGGCACGAGACUUUCAAGCUUUGCCUCUCUUUACAAGUGACAAUUAUUAAAAUUAUUCUUCCACUAAUAAUAGUGUUUAAGAGGGCUGGGAUGUGACUCAAUGGAAUAACAUUUCACAUGCAAGGUCCUGGGGUUUCCAGUUGGUAAAGGCUUGCCCAUGGGUCACUAAUUCUCCUGAAUAUCUAUGCCAUGUUACCUGGGAAGCCAGGCACCACCAUGCCUUUCACUGUGGUGUUUUCUCCAGGCCACAAAAUAAAAAAGGCAUCCCAAAAUAUGUGUGCACAGCAACCAAGAGGGAGGAGGAAUUGACCUGGGGUUCAGAAAAGAAAAGUGAUUUUUAUUUUUGUGUGUCCCAAACUGAGCAACUUUAUAGAAGAGCCCAAGUCUGUGUGCUGGAAAAGCCAGCUGUGCUGAUGGGAUACUCUCGCUGGUAAGCAGCUUCAGCAGCAGCUGUGACCCCAACCCCUGGAGGAACCCUGUCAGGGUUGCCUCCCAGCUGGCCUGUUGCCUAGCAAACCACCAAGGUCUACUGGGAUGAUCCUGUCUUUCCCUCUCUCUUCAGAUGUUCCUACACGGUCUCCUCCCUCUUGGCUGCUGCGCACACAUAUUUUGGGGUGCCUCUUUUAUUUUGGGACCUGGAGAAAACACCACAGUGAAAGGCAUGGUGCCUGGCUUCCCAGGACACGUAUCCACAACACAGCAAUCGCCUGCUUUCCUACAGAAGUUAGCGGGUUGGUGCGAUGACGAUUUGCUGCCAGCCACACACCUGAAGGUCUGAGGCUGCUCCACAGGUCUCCUGCCAUCCUCCUGGCUUUCUGGACAUGUUCUCUUGGCAGUGCAAACGAUAUAUUGGUCAUUGGCCGCUUUUAACACAGAAAUUGAGGCUUUGAGAGGCUUGCUCAAGCAAGUGGUGACAGCUGGAAUUAGAAUAAUUUUCCCUGAUUAUUGGUAUAAUCAUGGUAGGUUUUGGUCUGUUUAAGUUGGUGGAGGGUCGGGAGAGGCUACACCCAGUGUGCUCUGCCCUGCAAGGCGGGCAUGAAAAGCUGGAGUGUGAGGCAGGAGAGUCUGGUGCCUGCCCUUGGCCUCCACAGCGUAUGACUAACUCCCCCACAAAGUCAUCCCUUGUGUUUCACUUGUUUUGUUAAUCCCGCUGAGGAUUCCUGGCCCUGAGAACAUUUCACUUUAUUGGCUUCGCACAUAGACCUGAGGAGACACGGAGCCAGAACGCCUGGACCGGCACAGAACUGACAUUUCUGAAAGAGGAAAACAUUAAAGCCAGAACGGUCACCCACUCAUCAUCCCUGACAUCAGGGUAUGGGUGUCACAUGAUUAAAUACUGACCAAUGAAAUAUGAGUGGCAGUUAUAUGUUCAAUUUCUGUCUUAUGCUCUUAAGAGAUGGAGAGGAACUCCUCCCUGAUCCCAGUGCUACCUUCUGCCAACUUCCACACAUUCCUACGGCUGAAGAUGAAUUAGCCAUGUGGGCUUAAAAGAUAAAGUUCAGGCCUACUUUAGGUGGAAGCCACCAUGUUAGCCAAAUAGACUGCCAAAGAAAUGUUUUUGCAAGAGAAAUAUAUUGUUUUAUUGAAGAUAUGAUUAUUUGAAUCUCUUAAGUACAGGAGUCCAGAUAGGGUCCUUACAACCUGACAGAUAACUGGAGCAGAAGUCAAGUCCCUUGGUUUCCCCAAUUCAAGUCCUUUUACCUAUGAAUUUGAUGGUUUAUUUUCUCCCAUACGUUUGCAUGUUCAUGACCAAAUCUGUCCUUACAAUAGCUUUGUGACAUCCAUGAAAGAGGACUUCUGUGACUGUUACUAAGCAGACAGGAAAGCUAAGACACAAGAGUGGCAGAUGAAGGACUGCAAAGACAGUAGAAGUAUUCGCUGUGUAUGUGUGAGCAUCAGAAUUCAAGUCUCAGGACUCAUGUAAAAGACCAGGCAUGCACUUGUAAUUGCAGCACUAGGAAAGUGGAGACAGGGAGAUCCUUUGAGCUCACUAGCCACCACUCUAGCCUAGUUGGCAAGUCCAGAAAGAGGACCUGUCUCAAAAUACAAGGUGGACUGCUUGUGAAAAUGCCCAAGGUUGACCUCUGACCUCCACAGAUAUGUCCACACAUCUUCCCCCACGAACACUUUCUGAAUACACUGCUGUACAUGAGUAUCCUGUAUAUACAGGAAUGUCCUAGCCAACCACUCUAUGUGCACUCUGCAUGCACGUGUGCUACAUACCCUGUAUGAGUGGAGGAGACUCGUGAGCAAGCAUGGUCUCGGCUUCAGCAGGCCAGCAUGCUGAGUGAUCUGAAUCCAAGGACAUGGCUCCAGUCUUGUUAAUCUGAUGCCCUGGGCAGUGUCCAUCUAUGGAUGAGACAUGGCAAGGUCUUUAGCUUCAAGGAACUGUUGGAUGGAGGGACUUGCUCUUACAGAGGCUGGGGAUGUGGUUCUCAGCUUCCCUCGUUUCCUUGUCUCCCUCCAUUCUCUUUCCACAGAAGGUAUAGCUGGAGGUGUGUGUGAA